GCGAAACCUAAAGGCGAAAUGAAAGUGAAGGCGCGCCUCGCGCGCGCCGAGGGAGGAUGGGCGAGGCGUUCGCGCGCCGUCGCCCCGCACUCCCGGGGCGUCUCGUUCUCAUCGCGAGAAGAGGCGCACCCAGAGCGUACACGCUGGGACCCGAAAGAUGGUGAACUAUGCCUGGUCAGGACGAAGUCAGGGGAAACCCUGAUGGAGGUCCGUAGCGAUUCUGACGUGCAAAUCGAUCGUCGGAACUGGGUAUAGGGGCGAAAGACUAAUCGAACCAUCUAGUAGCUGGUUCCCUCCGAAGUUUCCCUCAGGAUAGCUGGCGCUCGCUUUUGCGAGUCUCAUCCGGUAAAGCGAAUGAUUAGAGGCAUUGGGGUCGAAACGGCCUCAACCUAUUCUCAAACUUUAAAUGGGUGAGAUCUCCGGCUUGCUUAAAUAAGCUGUGAAGCCGCGAGAUCGGAUCAGAGUGCCAAGUGGGCCAUUUUUGGUAAGCAGAACUGGCGCUGUGGGAUGAACCAAACGCGGAGUUAAAGCGCCUAAAUCGACGCUUAUGGGAUACCAUGAAAGGCGUUGGUAACUUAAGACAGCAGGACGGUGGCCAUGGAA
rnacentral:rRNA from 1 species